CGUAGGUGACCUGCGGCAGGACAUUAAUGAAUAACUUUGGCGUGGUUGUAGCUGGCUCUUAGGAGCAUGUGCACACCCGUCAUCUUUAUCUUUCCACCUGUGCACACUAUGUACAUCUGGAUAACUCUCGCUCUUCUGAGCGGAAACGGGAUUGCUGCGUCGCAAGGCCAGCUCUCUUUGAAUUUCCCGGUCUAUGUCAGGUUACAGACCCCAAUUGAAUGAUGCAGAAUGUCGUCAAUGGGCUCUAAGCCUAUAAAACAAAAUACAACUUUCAGCAACGGAUCUCUUGGCUCUCGCAUCGAUGAAAAACGCAACCAAAUGCCAUAAGUAAUGUGAAUUGCACAAUUCAGUGAAUCAUCGAAUCUUUGAACGCACCUUGCGCUCCUUGGUAUUCCGAGGAGCAUGCCUGUUUGAGUGUCAUUAAAUUCGCGACCUCACCAGAUUUGUAACGAGACUGUGUAAGG
rnacentral:misc_RNA from 1 species